UACGUAGGGUGCAAGCGUUGUCCGGAUUUAUUGGGCGUAAAGAGCUCGUAGGCGGUCUGUCGCGUCGGAUGUGAAAACCCAGGGCUCAACCCUGGGCCUGCAUUCGAUACGGGCAGACUAGAGUGUGGCAGGGGAGACUGGAAUUCCUGGUGUAGCGGUGAAAUGCGCAGAUAUCAGGAGGAACGCCCGUGGCUAAGGCGGCUCUCUAGUACGGUACUGACGCUGAGACGCGAAAGCGUGGGGAGCGAACAGG
rnacentral:rRNA from 1 species